rnacentral:rRNA from 1 species
GGGAUUCCCCUAGUAACGGCGAGUGAAGCGGGAACAGCUCAAAUUUGAAAUCUGGCCCUUGGGUCCGAGUUGUAAUUUGCAGAGGAUGCUUUUGGUGCGGUGCCUUCCGAGUUCCCUGGAACGGGACGCCUUAGAGGGUGAGAGCCCCGUACGGUUGGACACCAAGCCUAUGUAAAGCUCCUUCGACGAGUCGAGUAGUUUGGGAAUGCUGCUCAAAAUGGGAGGUAUAUUUCUUCUAAAGCUAAAUAUUGGCCAGAGACCGAUAGCGCACAAGUAGAGUGAUCGAAAGAUGAAAAGCACUUUGAAAAGAGGGUUAAAUAGCACGUGAAAUUGUUGAAAGGGAAGGAUUUAUGACCAGACUUUUUCUAGGGGGAUCAUCCGGUGUUCUCACCGGUGCACUUCCCCUAGUUGAGGCCAGCAUCGGUUUCUGUCGGGGGAUAAAAGCUUUAGGAAUGUGGCUCCCUCCGGGGAGUGUUAUAGCCUGUUGCAUAAUACCCUGACGGGGACCGAGGUUCGCGCAUUGCAAGGAUGCUGGCGUAAUGGUUAUUAAUCACCCGUCUUGAAACACGGACCAAGGAGUCGAACAUUUGUGCGAGUGUUUGGGUGUUAAACCCUCACGCGUAAUGAAAGUGAACGGAGGUGAGAGCCUUUCGGGGUGCAUCAUCGACCGAUCCUGAUGUCUUCGGAUGGAUUUGAGUAAGAGCAUUAAUGUUCGGACCCGAAAGAUGGUGAACUAUGCGUGGAUAGGGUGAAGCCAGAGGAAACUCUGGUGGAGGCUCGCAGCGGUUCUGACGUGCAAAUCGAUCGUCAAAUCUGCGCAUGGGGGCGAAAGACUAAUCGAACC